rnacentral:rRNA from 1 species
GACGAACGCUGGCGGCGCGCCUAACACAUGCAAGUCGAGCGGGGAUAUCUUAAGAGUAAUCGAGAGAUGUUCUAGCGGCGGACGGGUGAGUAACGCGUGAGUGACCUGCCUUACACAGGGGGAUACCGUACCGAAAGGUACACUAAUACCGCAUGAGACCACAGCAGCGCAUGCUGCAGGGGUCAAAGGAGUGAUCCGGUGUAAGAUGGACUCGCGUCCGAUUAGAUAGUUGGCGGGGUAACGGCCCACCAAGUCAGUGAUCGGUAGCCGACCUGAGAGGGUGAUCGGCCACAUUGGAACUGAGAGACGGUCCAAACUCCUACGGGAGGCAGCAGUGGGGAAUAUUGGGCAAUGGGGGAAACCCUGACCCAGCGACGCCGCGUGAGGGAAGAAGGUUCUCGGAUUGUAAACCUCUGUUCUUGGUGAAGAGAAGAAGACGGUAGCCAAGGAGGAAGCCCCGGCUAACUACGUGCCAGCCGCCGCCGUAAGAC